GCUGGGUGUGGUGGUGCACACCUGUAGUCCCAGCUCCUCAGGAGGCUGAGAUGGGAGGAUUGCUUGAUCCCAGGAGUUCAAUGCUACAGUGAACCAUGAUCACACCGUUGCAUUCCAGCCUGGGCAAUAGAGUGAGACCCUGUCUCUA
rnacentral:SRP_RNA from 2 species